rnacentral:rRNA from 1 species
CACGUAGGGACCAAGCGUUGUCCGGAUUCAUUGGGCGUAAAGAGCUCGUAGGCGGUUUGUCGCGUCUGCCGUGAAAGUCCGGGGCUCAACUCCGGAUCUGCGGUGGGUACGGGCAGACUAGAGUGAUGUAGGGGAGACUGGAAUUCCUGGUGUAGCGGUGAAAUGCGCAGAUAUCAGGAGGAACACCGAUGGCGAAGGCAGGUCUCUGGGCAUUAACUGACGCUGAGGAGCGAAAGCAUGGGGAGCGAACAGG